GUGGCUGAAGGGUGAUCCAUGCCACCCAAGGUAGCCACGCUGACCUCUAUGUCAGAGAAAAAUCCUGUGGCGUCCAAAAGCUGGGCAACCGGAACACACAUUGCUAAAGCUUUGCUGCCCCUCAAAGAGAAAUGGAUACAUACUGACCUAUCUGCAACAGGAAUCUACUGAUGCUUCAUCCAUUACUUCACCUAAAGGGCAGGCUUAUUUCUGAACCCUGGUUGCCAAAGGCAUCAAUUGAUGUAAGUCCUCUACUCAAGAGUUUGACGCAUGGAGACAGGAACUUGCUCUGCAUGAGGUAAUGCUGCUAUUCCAGGAUACAGCUUCAGAGCCUUAAUUCUGACAGCAAGGAACAGAGCACAUUAGGAGUGUAUCUCACUGCUCCUGCUUUCCUUUUUGGCAAGAGUUUGCUCCUCCAAGCCAGCAGGUGGCUAAUGCUAUUAAGUUUACAGGUAAUGGAAAUGGUUGAAUUUUAAAACACCUGGGUAACAUAAAUGAUCAGAACCCCUUUUUCAGUCUAGAGCUGUAUAGUGAUUUUGGAAUCUGCAGAAAAACGUUAGUAGCCUGGACAAAAACAUGUUUAUUUCUGAAUAUGUUCCCAUGUGCUGUGGCAUAUCAUGAAUUU